rnacentral:rRNA from 1 species
GAUGAACGCUGGCGGCGUGCCUAAUACAUGCAAGUAGAACGCUGAAGGAAGGAGCUUGCUCUUUCCGGAUGAGUUGCGAACGGGUGAGUAACGCGUAGGUAACCUGCCUGGUAGCGGGGGAUAACUAUUGGAAACGAUAGCUAAUACCGCAUAACAGUAGAUGUUGCAUGAUAUCUACUUAAAAGGUGCAAUUGCACCACUACCAGAUGGACCUACGUUGUAUUAGCUAGUUGGUGAGGUAACGGCUCACCAAGGCGACGAUACAUAGCCGACCUGAGAGGGUGAUCGGCCACACUGGGACUGAGACACGGCCCAGACUCCUACGGGAGGCAGCAGUAGGGAAUCUUCGGCAAUGGACGGAAGUCUGACCGAGCAACGCCGCGUGAGUGAAGAAGGUUUUCGGAUCGUAAAGCUCUGUUGUAAGAGAAGAACGAGUGUGAGAGUGGAAAGUUCACACUGUGACGGUAUCUUACCAGAAAGGGACGGCUAACUACGUG